rnacentral:rRNA from 1 species
GACAUAUAGGUUGUAGGGACUGAAAGGGACCGACCUUCGGGAGCCUAUACAGGUGUUGCAUGGCUGUCGUCAGCUCGUGUCGUGAGAUGUUCGGUUAAGUCCGCUAACGAGCGCAACCCUCGUCGUAUGUUAUAUGUGUCAUACGAGACUGCCGGUAAAAGCCGGAGGAAGGUGAGGAUGAUGUCAAGUCAGCAUGACCUUUAUAUCCAGGGCUACACACACGCUACAAUGGUCUGUACAAUGGGUAGCCAAGCCGCGAGGCGGAGCCAAUCCUGAAAGCAGGCCUCAGUUCAGAUUGCAGUCUGCAACUCGACUGCAUGAAGCCGGAGUUGCUAGUAACCGCAGGUCAGCAGUACUGCGGUGAAUACGUUCCCGGGUCUU